rnacentral:lncRNA from 1 species
CAAUUCAUUCGGUCCAAGUAUUUUCUAUCUAUUCAAUUUUUUUCCCCAUUUAAUUAGCAUCGACGAACAGUGAUUGAGUUGUAAAUUUUGAUCCUUUCAUGCUUUAAUCUUAAGCUUUGAAUUGGUGAAAGAAACCCAUGCUCCAACUUGUGUGGUUAUAUGUUUAAUAAAGGAAUAAUUAGGCUAUGAAUUUGUGAAUUUUAGUUUUCAUCUGCACCAUUUUGCAUCUCUCUGUUUCUUCAUUUCACCUCACUCAACACAAGAAAAUUUUUAGCCCUCACAGCCUUCAAUCAAACACACAACCCUAAGCCGACAACAAGAAUAGAAGCAAAAACAGGCCCAUAUUUGCAAUUUUCUUUACAAUCAAUUUCUUGAUCUGGGUUUUGUUUGGACUCGAAGAAUCACAACUAGAAACUGAUUUUGCAGUCUCCAAGCUGGAUUUUCCAUCUGGAUUUUGUUUGGAAUCGAAUAAAAACUCCGACUUUGAAGUUGGAUUUGAAUCUUUGAAAUCCGGGUGGCUGGAAUUCGGUGGUGGAGGUUGGCAGUGAAUUUUGAGGAGGAUUGUGUUGGAAGAGAUAGAAUCCCUUUUUGCCUAACGUUAUGGUGUGUUCUUAAUUUGAUGGUUAACUUUUGUCAUGACCGGCUAUAGAUGAGAAUUUCUCCCAUUGACACAUGUUGGCGACCAGACUCCAACCGUCUAAAACCAGUUUCAUUUUAUUGAAACUUGUCCUACAUCAAGAAUACUGACCCCCAAA